rnacentral:rRNA from 1 species
CUACGGGUUGCUGCAGUGGGGAAUAUUGGACAAUGGGGGAAACCCUGAUCCAGCAAUGCCGCGUGUGUGAAGAAGGCCUGCGGGUUGUAAAGCACUUUCGGUUGGGAGGACUGCUUCUAGCACUAAUAUUGUUGGAAGUUGACGUUACCUUCAGAAGAAGCACCGGCUAACUCCGUGCCAGCAGCCGCGGUAAUACGGAGGGUGCAUGCGUUAAUCGGAAUUACUGGGCGUAAAGCGCGCGUAGGCGGCUAGAUCAGUCGGGUGUGAAAGCCCCGGGCUUAACCUGGGAACUGCAUCCGAUACUGGCAAGCUUGAGUACAGGAGAGGAGGGUGGAAUUCCACAUGUAGCGGUGAAAUGCGUAGAUAUGUGGAGGAACACCAAUGGCGAAGGCAGCUCUCUGGCCUGAUACUGACGCUGAGGUGCGAAAGCGUGGGGAGCAAACAGGAUUAGAUACCCGGGUAGUC